CCCUCUCCUACCUAAACCUAGAGCACGAAACACCCGCCUCCCUACGCACCGCCGCCCCUCUCUCUCCCUCUCCCAGAUCCAGAUCAAGGAUACCGCCACCUUCGGUGCCCAUGCCCCUCGUGCCCCUCCUCUCCCUCCGCCUCCGCUGUGGCCGGCUAACGCGCAGUCCUCGUCCUCCUCUGCCUCCUCAUCCUCCACGACCGUACGCACCAAGGCCGAGGCGCGAGCCCAGCGCGAGCCACUUCUGCUUGCCCUCGUCCCGCGGCAUGGGAGAGGAUGAGGACGAGCCCUCGUCACGCGGGGAGCUGCGUCACGCGUGCACGGGGAUGGGCGUGGCGCUGACCAGGCAUGUGAGCCAGCUCAAGAUUCGAAGGAUGGCAGUUCUUGUGGUGAGGCAGGGGCGCGAGCAGUAGCGGUGCAGCGCGAGCACCGGCAGGCGCAUCGUGGUGGGGUGCAUUCCGUACCGGGUAUGCGAGGGCGAGGGCGAGGGCGAGCUGGAGGUGCUGGUCAUCAGCUUGUGAAAGGGGCACGGCAUGAUGUUCCUCAAGUGCCAGCAAGGCCCUCGACGUCCUCAUCGACAUCUGCGGAAGUCAACUCCUCCCCCUUCGUUUUUUCUGAUGCAGGUUCAGGCGCGCAAGGUCGUCAUGUCCGAGGACGACACCGCGAGGGGGCUGGUCUAGCUCUUCGAUGACCAUGCCGUCACCGAGAUCGUCAUUGGCGCCAUUGCUGACCGGGGAUACACCAGGAAGUCGCGGACGCCGAAGUCCAAGAAGGCGGUGAGGGUGCAGCGGAAGGCCAACCCCUCUUCCAGGAUCUGGUUCGUCUACAAAGGAAACCUCAUCUGCACUAGGCUCGCGGUGAAGAACCUCAAGGCCGAGUAGGACCCCGGCAAGCCCAAGCGCACCUCAAGCACCUUCUUAGUCUUCAUGGCAGCCCUGGUUUCGAUUCGUUGGCGUGGUUCGGUUUGUGUUGCCUCUGUGGCAUCGUAACGUGUCCUGACUAGGGGCAGGGCAUUUUGGUUUUCUUUUCACAGGGAUAGCUUCAGCAAGGACUCCAACAUCAAGCAGGUUUCUCUGGUUGGCAAGGCCGGUGGUGAGAAGUGGAAGUCUCUUAGUGAUGCUAAGAAGGCUUCCUACUUUACCAAGGCUGAGCAGCUCAAGGUCGGGUACACGACGCCUACACGGAUUAGAAGAGUAGAAGCGGGGGAGGGGGUUUGAAGUCUUUGGAACUUCACCAUUGCUACGAAUUGCUAGUGUAAUUGAUUGAUGAUUGAUGGUUCUGUUGUUGGUAGAAAUGGUUAAAUCCUAUUAGGCGGUUGUUGUUGCUGGUAGAAAUGGUAGCUCUAGUCCCAUGUAGUGUAGUUCACGUGCUUGGGUUGCCCUAUGUUGCUUCAUGUUUAUGUUAAUUAAGUAUGUCAAAUGUA